rnacentral:tRNA from 1 species
GGGGGUUUAGCUCAGUGGUAGAGCACUUGCCUAGCAAGCACAAGGUCCUGGGUUCGGUCCCCAGCUCUG